CCUACGGGUGGCAGCAGUGAGGAAUAUUGGUCAAUGGCCGGAAGGCUGAACCAGCCAUGCCGCGUGAAGGUCAGUGCCCUAUGGGCGUUAAACUUCUUUUGUGCGGGAGCAAUAAUGGUCACGUGUGGCCAGACGAGAGUACCGUACGAAUAAGCAUCGGCUAACUCCGUGCCAGCAGCGGCGGUAAUACGGGGGAGGCAAGCGUUAUCCGGAUUUAUUGGGGUUAAAGGGGGCGUAGGCUGUGAGGUAAGUCAGCGGUGAAAUGCCCCCGCUCAACGGGGUGAAGUGCCAUUGAUACUGCCUUCCUGGAAUGCGGCGGCCGUAGGAGGAAUGUGUGGUGUAGCGGUGAAAUGCAUAGAUAUCACACAGAACCCCGAUUGCGAAGGCAUCUCACGAUUCCGCGAUUGACGCUGAUGCACGAAAGCGUGGGUAUCAAACAGGAUUAGAUACCCCUGUAGUC
rnacentral:rRNA from 1 species